rnacentral:rRNA from 1 species
GACGAACGCUGGCGGCGUGCUUAACACGUGCAAGUCGAACGGAAAGGCCCUGCUUUUGUGGGGUGCUCGAGUGGCGAACGGGUGAGUAACACGUGAGUAACCUGCCCUUGACUUUGGGAUAACUUCAGGAAACUGGGGCUAAUACCGGAUAGGAGCUCCUGCUGCAUGGUGGGGGUUGGAAAGUUUCGGCGGUUGGGGAUGGACUCGCGGCUUAUCAGCUUGUUGGUGGGGUAGUGGCUUACCAAGGCUUUGACGGGUAGCCGGCCUGAGAGGGUGACCGGCCACAUUGGGACUGAGAUACGGCCCAGACUCCUACGGGAGGCAGCAGUGGGGAAUAUUGCACAAUGGGCGGAAGCCUGAUGCAGCAACGCCGCGUGCGGGAUGACGGCCUCCGGGUUGUAAACCGCUUUCGCCUGUGACGAAGCGUGAGUGACGGUAAUGGGUAAAGAAGCACCGGCUAACUACGUG